rnacentral:rRNA from 1 species
GACGUAGGGCGCGAGCGUUGUCCGGAAUUAUUGGGCGUAAAGAGCUCGUAGGCGGUCUGUUACGUCUGCUGUGAAAACCCAGGGCUUAACCCUGGGCUUGCAGUGGAUACGGGCAGACUAGAGGCAGGUAGGGGAGAAUGGAAUUCCCGGUGUAGCGGUGAAAUGCGCAGAUAUCGGGAGGAACACCGGUGGCGAAGGCGGUUCUCUGGGCCUGACCUGACGCUGAGGAGCGAAAGCGUGGGGAGCGAACAGG